rfam:Triticum aestivum genome assembly, contig: Triticum_aestivum_CS42_TGACv1_scaffold_220592_3B
UUCAUACUCCCUCCGUCCCAAAAUUCUUGUCUUAGAUUUGUCUACAUACAGAUGUAUCUAUUCACGUUUUAGUGUUAGAUACAUCCGUAUCUAGAUACGGAUAUCCGUAUCUAGAUACAUCAGAAUUUUGGGACGGAGGGAGUAUUAU